rnacentral:rRNA from 1 species
UACGUAGGGGGCAAGCGUUGUCCGGAUUUAUUGGGCGUAAAGAGCGUGUAGGCGGCCAGAUAGGUCCGUUGUGAAAACUCGAGGCUCAACCUCGAGACGCCGAUGGAAACCAUCUGGCUAGAGUCCGGAAGAGGAGAGUGGAAUUCCUGGUGUAGCGGUGAAAUGCGCAGAUAUCAGGAGGAACACCAAUAGCGAAGGCAGCUCGCUGGGACGUUACUGACACUGAGGCGCGAAAGCGUGGGGAGCGAACAGG